rnacentral:rRNA from 1 species
CUCCGGUUGAUCCCGCCGGACCCGACUGCUAUCAGAGUGGGACUAAGCCAUGCGAGUCAACAUAGCAAUAUGUGGCAUACGGCUCAGUAACACGUAGUCAACAUGCCCAGGGGACGUGGAUAACCUCGGGAAACUGAGGAUAAACCGCGAUAGGUCAUCACUUCUGGAAUGGGUAAUGACUUAAAUCUAUAUGGCCCCUGGAUUGGACUGCGGCCGAUCAGGCUGUUGGUGAGGUAAUGGCCCACCAAACCUGUAACCGGUACGGGCUCUGAGAGGAGGAGCCCGGAGAUGGGCACUGAGACAAGGGCCCAGGCCCUAUGGGGCGCAGCAGGCGCGAAACCUCUGCAAUAGGCGAAAGCUUGACAGGGUUACUCUGAGUGAUUUCCGUUAAGGAGAUCUUUUGGCACCUCUAAAAAUGGUGCAGAAUAAGGGGUGGGCAAGUCUGGUGUCAGCCGCCGCGGUAAUACCAGCACCCCGAGUGGUCGGGACGUUUAUUGGGCCUAAAGCAUCCGUAGCCGGUUCUACAAGUCUUCCGUUAAAUCCACCUGCUUAACAGAUGGGCUGCGGAAGAUACUAUAGAGCUAGGAGGCGGGAGAGGCAAGCGGUACUCAGUGGGUAGGGGUAAAAUCCGUUGAUCCAUUGAAGACCACCAGUGGCGAAGGCGGCUUGCCAGAACGCGCUCGACGGUGAGGGAUGAAAGCUGGGGGAGCAAACCGGAUUAGAUACCCGGGUAGUCCCAGCUGUAAACGAUGCAGACUCGGUGAUGAGUUGGCUUAUUGCUAACUCAGUGCCGCAGGGAAGCCGUUAAGUUUGCCGCCUGGGGAGUACGGUCGCAAGACUGAAACUUAAAGGAAUUGGCGGGGGAGCA